rnacentral:rRNA from 1 species
ACUCCGUGCCAGCAGCCCGCGGUAAUACGGAGGGUGCAAGCUUUAAUCGGAAUUACUGGGCGUAAAGCGCACGCAGGCGGUCUGUCAAGUCGGAUGUGAAAUCCCCGGGCUCAACCUGGGAACUGCAUCCGAAACUGGCAGGCUAGAGUCUUGUAGAGGGGGGUAGAAUUCCAGGUGUAGCGGUGAAAUGCGUAGAGAUCUGGAGGAAUACCGGUGGCGAAGGCGGCCCCCUGGACAAAGACUGACGCUCAGGUGCGAAAGCGUGGGGAGCAAACAGGAUUAGAUACCCUGGUAGUCCACGCCGUAAACGAUGUCGACUUGGAGGUUGUGCCCUUGAGGAGUGGCUUCCGGAGCUAACGCGUUAAGUCGACCGCCUGGGGAGUACGGCCCGCCAA